rnacentral:rRNA from 1 species
GUGAGGAAUAUUGGACAAUGGAUGGAAAUCUGAUCCAGCCAUGCCGCGUGCAGGAAGACGGCCCUAUGGGUUGUAAACUGCUUUUAUACGGGAGCAAUAAGGUCUAUGCAUAGAUUGAUGAGAGUACCGUAUGAAUAAGCAUCGGCUAACUCCGUGCCAGCAGCCGCGGUAAUACGGAGGAUGCGAGCGUUAUCCGGAUUUAUUGGGUUUAAAGGGUGCGUAGGCGGCGUUGUAAGUCAGCGGUGAAAUUUUGCAGCUUAACUGUAAAAGCGCCGUUGAUACUGUGAAGCUAGGAUUUGGUUGCUGUGGGCGGAAUGUGUGGUGUAGCGGUGAAAUGCAUAGAGAUCACACAGAAUAUCGAUUGCGAAGGCAGCUCACAAAGCCAAUAUUGACGCUGAGGCACGAAAGUGUGGGGAUCAAACAGGAUUAGAUACCCCAGUAGUCC